rnacentral:lncRNA from 1 species
AUGCGCAAAACAGCUCUCCGGCAGUCUGACUCUUCCAGUCCCGAAACAGGCUACAGGCGUGGUGAUACAGGCCCAAAUAUGCGUCAAAAACGAGUUCCUCUCUCCUCUAGCCUUAAGAGCAAGAGGCAUCAGAUCAAGAGCGACCCUACACCGUUCGGCUAUGAAGACACCAUGCGAGGUGCACUUCCCGCUGAGAGCAAAAGUAAAGGUACUGCCGGUACCAAGCCCGCUGUGCCGAGGUCUGCAUCUCAACCAGGAUGGAAUCAACGGCGUCUGCCAUCAAUGGACGCUGAGGAUUUUGAGACCAUUCCAUCAAGUGCUGAAGAACUCUCCAUUUCCUCAGAUGGAGAGGAUGAAGGACAUAACAAAAACGGGGAUAACGAUCGCUAUCAGGUGCAGCUGACGUACGAGUCAGGUACUGCUCAGGAGCUUUCCGUCGAGGCAGGAGAUUUAGUACAGUUCCUAGAAGAGUCGGAGAACGGCCACUGAUAUUUUCAGUGACCUCUGCACCGCUGCCCUCACCGAUACAGAGGAGGCAGAUGACAGCACCUGGCCGCGUCCCGCUCAGGACGGCAGAUUUGCAUGCUGAACGCACCGUGAUGUGUCCUCGCUUUCAGUAGCGCCAUGCUUAUACACCAUACUCAACAACAGCUCGAUAUCUUUUAUAAUACUACACAGACAUCUGCUCCGCUGAAGGAAUAGGUGAACUGACCGAUCAGAACUGAUUCCACAUAACAUUGACAACAUUCUGUAGUCGUGAGUCAGAAAUUCAGCAUGCAGCCUUCGCCCUUUCCCUCUGCUGUGCCUUAGCUGCAAACGCAGGGGCAUCUGAAAAGAAAUAUCCGGAUCUCUGUGAACUCCGGACGCUGAUAUCUGAACCGAGGCUGCCAUUUGAAAACACUGAGAAGAAGAGACUCUAGACCUUUCUGUCCUGCUGAAACUUUCACUGAAAUGCUUUUAAAGGGAUAGUUCACUCAAAAAUGAUCAUUUACUCACUAUCAUGUUACUCCAAACCUCUAUGAAUUUCUUUCUUCUGCUAAAGAAGAUAUUUUGAAGAAACAGCCACUGACUUGCAUAGUAUUUUUCAAUGGCUACCAGCAAUUGUUUUCAUUUUUGAGUGAACAGUUCCUUCAAAUAUACUUGAUUGUUUUGUUGUUUAUUGCUUGUUUGCUUAUGAGACUGUUGGUCAGAAUCACAGCACUUUUGAUGAAUUAAUAUUCUCUAAUGUAAUGUACAAUAUUUAUACUCUCUUUUAUAUUCUGACAUGAAAGUUGUAUGAGCCAUCUGUAAAGCUUUGUUCCUCUGCUGUUUGUAAAGCUGAAUAUCUUUAAUCCUCUUCAAAUAUUUGCCUCUAUUCAUUUCUAUCAUGGUCUGGUUGUACAUAAAUAAUCUCGAAACGUAGUAAAAAUGUGGGAUAUUUACUCUGGAGAUGUUUUUAUAUGUAUUUCAGAAAAUAUGAAUGUUGUAGCAUAAAUAUUCCAGCUGUACUGUAAAGCAUCUGAUACUGUUAUUUGAAUUAAUGUUUGUGCUAAACGAAUAUACAGAAAUCAGAUGUACUGUAUCCUUCCUGCUUUGACAUGAAGAACUGGAUGACAGUGAAUGUCGUAAUGAUGCCAAAAGUUUUGUCUCAUAACCGCAGAUAUCCACAUAUGAUUGCGAUUUAACGAUGGUAUAGUUUAAUUACUUUCUGAUAGUUUCUUAAAUUGAAAAUAUCUAAGCACAAAGAUUUGAUAUUGAAUGCUGUUGUGAUUCUUGGUAGUAUCAUCAUUCUGUUCAUUUUUAUGUGAAUAUUUCGAUUUUCACAGCUUCCUUACAGACGAUAUGUAUUAGAUAACUGUACAUUUCCAAAUGCAUAAUCAAAUACAUUCAUUAUAAAACAAUGUCUGUGACUUUGCAUAUGGAGACUAUUAAAGCCAACCUGAUAUAAGUUAGAAACAUCAUGAAGAUGUAAUGAAAUUUUUCAAAUGUUCUCCAUGGACUUCUUCCAAGAAACUUCAGGUUGAAAACUGGCCCAUCAGGCUGUUUUUGGUUGAAAUUAGAAGCUUUUUAAGAGAGUGUGUGACACUAAAGUGUGCAUUUAAAAGAGGAGGACAGAAACGAGAGAGAGGGCCAGGCAAGAUUCACUGGGCUUUGUUCUACAGAGGGUGUCUUUCAAACUCCCAAAAACUCCUGAGGCGCGGAAGAGAAGGAAAGAGAGUGGAGAGAGCAGGACACAAAGACCCAGAGAGAUGUGACAAGCAUUGAAACUGAAUUUUAAAAAAGUGCACUCAAGCUGCCUUCACUUUGUCCUUGGGUUUGGCUUCAGGUGUCUAAAGAUUUUGAAGACACCUGGCAGUCUAUUUAUCAUGAAUCAUUGUCCCCGAAAGCAGGCGGGGCAGAAGAAAGAAGGAGACUUCGGUCAGCAGGAAAGGGAUGAGCGGAGGGCAGGCCGAGUCUCAUUGCUCGGGUUAAAGGAAGUUAAUGGGCUGACAUCACAUCAGGACAAUGCAGGAUGAUGGGUUUAUUUUUAUAACUAUGGCUUUUUUUUUUUUUUUGUGACAAGAAUGUUCAGAUUUAAGAUGUGAACGAAUGAGAAGGAAAAAAAUUACAUUUCAUAAUUGAAUCAUGCAUUCACUUGUUCAAUAAGACAUUGACUUGAUUUAGUUUCAUUAACAACUUAUCAUAAUCUACCAUGGUAAUCAUAGCUUCCAUUAAAAUACUAUUACUACAGUAGUUGCCAUAAUAAACCAUAAUAAAUUAUAAUGGGGUUUUCAAGAGUCGAAGUAUAAGUUGUAUAUAAUAUGGUACGACAUAAAAAUAUAAUAUAAUAUAAUAUAAUAUAAUAUAAUAUAAUAUAAUAUAAUAUAAUAUAAUAUAAUAUAAUAUAAUAUAAUAUAAU